AACGAACGCUGGCGGCAUGCCUAACACAUGCAAGUCGAACGAAGGCUUCGGCCUUAGUGGCGCACGGGUGCGUAACGCGUGGGAAUCUGCCCUUUGGUUCGGAAUAACAGCUGGAAACGGCUGCUAAUACCGGAUGAUGACGAAAGUCCAAAGAUUUAUCGCCAGAGGAUGAGCCCGCGUUGGAUUAGGUAGUUGGUGGGGUAAAGGCCUACCAAGCCGACGAUCCAUAGCUGGUCUGAGAGGAUGAUCAGCCACACUGGGACUGAGACACGGCCCAGACUCCUACGGGAGGCAGCAGUGGGGAAUAUUGGACAAGGGGCGCAAGCCUGAUCCAGCAAUGCCGCGUGAGUGAUGAAGGCCCUAGGGUUGUAAAGCUCUUUUACCCGGGAAGAUAAUGACUGUACCGGGAGAAUAAGCCCCGGCUAACUCCGUG
rnacentral:rRNA from 1 species